AAAGCGAAUAGUGAAAUCUGGCGGCUCAACCGUACAGGCUAUUAUUCGAACUCACUAACUCGAGAGUGGUAGAGGUUACUGGAAUUUCUAGUGUAGGAGUGAAAUCCGUAGAUAUUAGAAGGAACACCAAUGGCGUAGGCAGGUAACUGGACCAUUUCUGACACUAAGGCACGAAAGCGUGGGGAGCGAACCGGAUUAGAUACCCUGGUAGUCCACGCCUAAACGAUGCGAACUG
rnacentral:rRNA from 1 species